GAUGAAAGAUUUAAAACGGCGUCUGUUCUCAAACUUAGCUGGACCAUGGAGGAACUUGAGGAAUUAAUUUGCAGGUGCUAUGCAGGAGCACCCUUGAGUCUGAUUGGUUUUAAAUUUCAGACAAGUCACAGAAUAUCGCAGGUACAAGCAUCUUCUGUUAUGGAUUUGAAAUAGAAGACUGGAAGAAGUCGACUUUAUAUUAUGCCAAGCAGAGACAUCCAACUCCCUUUGCAGAACACCUCUUCUCUUGCAUUGCCAAGAGCCCAGCAAGAAGCUAAUCCUACCACUUCAGAACAAUUUGUUUUUCUACCUCCUUCAUCUAAUCAAACUCCACUUCCACGACCUGCUGCACCUGUAACGCCACCUGUGGUCCUUGUUCCAAAACCUAUUCAGCCUUCAGAAACUUUCAUUUGUGUGCCCCAAGUUCUGAGCAUAGAGGAUGAGAGUGAUUCCACAGAAGGUACUGCAGAGCAACAUGAACUUCAACUGCCUGUAGAAAACAACUUUCCUGAUGCAUCUGAACCAGAACCAACACCUUCAUCUGAUUCUUCUCUCUUGCAGUAGAGGAGCAGGAGGACGGGAGGCUGUAGCCGGAGAGCCAGCUGAAACCCCAGAGCACGCCCCUCACCACACAGCACAACAACGCACAGCGCACACACCACGAUCCCCGGAGGAAAAGAGCACAGUUUCCGUGCACAGAGGAUUGUGGCUAACGGCAUGUCUUUUUGUUUACUUUUGGACCCUGAACCUUUUUGUUAUUUUUACCCAAAAUACCAUCGUUGGUAGUGGGCUUAUUAUUGUUUUGCUUUGGAUCUCAUUGUUAACUUUCUGUUGGAUUUAUUAAACUUUCAUUAUUGUUGGGAAACGGCAGUCUGGACAUUACACUCUUUUGCACUGCACCAGUCAUCCUUACUA